GAUUAACGCUAGCGGCAGGCCUAAUACAUGCAAGUCGAGGGGCAGCGCGGAUAGCAAUAUCUGGCGGCGACCGGCGCACGGGUGCGUAACACGUAUGCAACCUACCUUUAACUGUGGGAUAGCCCCGAGAAAUUGGGAUUAAUACCACAUAACAUUGCGAAAAGGCAUCUUUUUGCAAUUAAAGAUUUAUCGGUUAAGGAUGGGCAUGCGCGACAUUAGCUAGUUGGUGAGGUAACGGCUCACCAAGGCUUCGAUGUCUAGGGGUUCUGAGAGGAUUUCCCCCCACACUGGUACUGAGACACGGACCAGACUCCUACGGGAGGCAGCAGUAAGGAAUAUUGGGCAAUGGACGCAAGUCUGACCCAGCCAUGCCGCGUGCAGGAUUGACGGCCCUAUGGGUUGUAAACUGCUUUUGUAUGGGAAAAACUCCCGGUCGUGUACCGGGACUGAUGUUACCAUAAGAUAAGCAUCGGCUAACUCCGUGCCAGCAGCCGCGGUAAAACG
rnacentral:rRNA from 1 species